rnacentral:rRNA from 1 species
GAUGAACGCUGGCGGCGUGCCUAAUACAUGCAAGUCGAGCGAACGGACGAGAAGCUUGCUUCUCUGAUGUUAGCGGCGGACGGGUGAGUAACACGUGGAUAACCUACCUAUAAGACUGGGAUAACUUCGGGAAACCGGAGCUAAUACCGGAUAAUAUUUUGAACCGCAUGGUUCAAAAGUGAAAGACGGUCUUGCUGUCACUUAUAGAUGGAUCCGCGCUGCAUUAGCUAGUUGGUAAGGUAACGGCUUACCAAGGCAACGAUGCAUAGCCGACCUGAGAGGGUGAUCGGCCACACUGGAACUGAGACACGGUCCAGACUCCUACGGGAGGCAGCAGUAGGGAAUCUUCCGCAAUGGGCGAAAGCCUGACGGAGCAACGCCGCGUGAGUGAUGAAGGUCUUCGGAUCGUAAAACUCUGUUAUUAGGGAAGAACAUAUGUGCAAGUAACUGUGCACAUCAUGACGGUACCUAAUCAGAAAGCCACGGCUAACUACGUG